rnacentral:rRNA from 1 species
UACAGAGGGGGCAAGCGUUGUUCGGAAUUACUGGGCGUAAGGGGCGCGUAGGCGGCCUGUUAAGUCGAACGUGAAAUCCCUCGGCUCAACCGGGGAACUGCGUCCGAUACUGGCGGGCUUGAAUUCGGGAGAGGGAUGUGGAAUUCCAGGUGUAGCGGUGAAAUGCGUAGAUAUCUGGAGGAACACCGGUGGCGAAGGCGGCAUCCUGGACCGACAUUGACGCUGAGGCGCGAAAGCCAGGGGAGCAAACGGG